rnacentral:tRNA from 1 species
GCCACGGUCGCAUAAUCUGGUAUUGCGCAGGAUUGCUAAUCCUGUCCCUUUGGGAUCGCCGGUUCAAAUCCGGUCCGUGGCG